UACGUAGGGGGCAAGCGUUGUCCGGAUUUAUUGGGCGUAAAGAGCGUGUAGGCGGCCAUACAGGUCAGCUGUGAAAACUCGAGGCUCAACCUCGAGACGUCGGUUGAAACCGUAUGGCUAGAGUCCGGAAGAGGCGAGUGGAAUUCCUGGUGUAGCGGUGAAAUGCGCAGAUAUCAGGAGGAACACCAAUUGCGAAGGCAGCUCGCUGGGACGUUACUGACGCUGAGACGCGAAAGCGUGGGGAGCAAACAGG
rnacentral:rRNA from 1 species